rnacentral:lncRNA from 1 species
UCAACUGCAGUACCACCAGCAACAAUAUCUGCAGGACCAUCAGCAGCGCAUCAAGAUUUCCUGCGAUAUUGCUCCCAGCACCCAGGUCCGAUAUCUCAAAGAGCUUUCUACCGGUGGUGUCAAUAUAGGGUAGAUGAUCCCUCCUUUAGAUGGAGGAGACAAGCCCCAUAUGACACCACUGGUAGAAGCGGUGCUACUAAUUAGUGGUGUUGCUAGCCAAGCGGUGUUACUAAUUAGUGGUGUUACUUGGCACUUAAUGCCAAGCGGUGUUACUAAAUUGUGGUGUUACUUGGCAGCGUUUAGUGCCAAGCGGUGUUACAAGUGUUGAGCUAGGUUGUGUUGUCUAGCUUUUUUAAUUAUUCUGGAAACACAUAAUCUGAAUAUUUUGUGUUAUGUGCAAAUGUGUUAUGUAAAAAUAAUUUAUGCUAUGUGUAUUCAGUAGCAUAG